CAGGGAGCCAGAGAGGAGCAAGCAGCAGCCACAGGCCUGCUCUUGCUCAGUGUGGAAAGUCGCUGUGCAGUCCCCACGCUCUUCCUGAGCUGGGCUAGGGAUGGGGUGGCCUGAGUCUGCACUGAUCUCACCUCUCAGCGGCCACCUGGCUCCUUCAGCCCCCUCAGAAGCCUCCGUACACUCACUCCCAGCAUGGAUUCAGAGGUAGAGAGAAGAGAGCGGGGCUCAGGGACUCGGCCAAGUUGCAAGAGACAAAGACAUUAAAUCCCUGCUGGGACCAGCUUCUGCUUCACCUGAGACUUCACUGGCGAUGCUUCCAGGUGAGGACAUGCGACAGUAGCCGAGCUGCCCACACCACUCUGUGGAAGAGGACAGGGAAGGCCCCUCUCUGCGUGCCUUUUCUACCGCAGCUCUUGCUGUUCUGUGGCAGCAAAAUGGAACUGCUCAAAACUCGACAUCUUGCAGAUCUGUAAGUCCUCAACCAAGCUCUGGGCUCUUGCUCAUUCUGUGUUUCUAUGGCCUCUUCACCCUCCUGGAUCUGGCCUAAUCCCCAUUCUUCUGUGCUCAGCUUGCUCCUCUGCAUUUCUCCAGGCCCAGCAAGGCCCUUCCUGCUCCAGGCCCAGCAGUAGGUUGCUGAAAGCUCUAAAGAUGACCUAGCCCACUGCUUUCCCAGCACCCAACACAAAGUAAAAGGACCUCAUAUUCAUAGGAUCACUUUGGGGAAACAAUUAAACAAUGAGUAACUCUCCCACCAAUAAUUCACUGGAAUUGUUAGUAAACUAUUGCUAAUAAGACAUUAUGUAACCAAUUUCAAAAACUAGCAAAAGAAAAAUUAUUUUUUAAAUAAGAAACAGAGAAUCUCAAAGCAGAGAACCCAGGAUGACCUUCAUCUUGGAACCUUGCCUGGUACCGAUGAUUGGCACCUGAGAAUGGCUUGAUCUCCAUCUGGAAAUCAAUGAGCAGAGCUGUGGCUGCCAGGGCAGACAAGCUGGAACUCAGGUUCCUCCGGAAGUGAAGGCCCUCUGAAUGGCGUGCAGUCUUGGAAGGAAGGGAAAAGCUAAGGAACCCUGUCCUUCUUUGGCUUUGUAUGAUAUUCAGGAUGCACUGCCCAAACAUGUUUUAGGCUGGAGGAAUUUGAGAAAACUGCAGGAACAAGAAGAUGAGAUUCCCCGACCGUCUUCUCUUAAAAGGUUGCAGAGCCUGAGCCAUCCUCUCAUCAUCCCUGAAACAAGCCUCUCUGUGCCUGGAGGAAGGUGCGUCCCAUUUCUGAAGAUGAAGGGACAGAAGGAAGAGUCCACACGGACAAGCCUGGCCUCUCCUAGGUCAUUGAUAACAGACUGUCCCUCCUUCCUUCUACCUGACGUGUUCCUGCCUGUUCACUCUCCAUGAAACUUGACAUAAAAAUACGAAGACAUAGCCAGUUCUGCAGGGCUUCCUUACCCAGAGAGACUCCUUGCCUGUAAAACUAAGUGAAAUAAAUUUCCAACAUCAUCCCUGGUAAUUUGUCUUUCACUGUAGGUGAGCGAUAUUAAUCAAAAUGAGUCAAAAUGGACUUGAUUUUUUUAAAUUAACAGGGACAAUAUCAAAGACAUUAUUGCAACUUCAGCACAUGUAGUCAAAGUGUUAAGAGGCUUCAGGGAACAUAUAACAAAGAUCUGUGUAUGUAUACAUCUGAAGGUCAAAGAUGUGUGAGGUGUAAAAUAUACUGGAUGAGACUGAUGGUAGAUCUGAGGUCAACAAAGAACUGAAAGACAAUGGAAUGGAAACUAAUAAAAAUGAAACAAAGAAAAAGAAAAAUAGCCACAGAUCAGUGAACAUCCAGCAGACCAUUGUAUGGUGGUGGGAGUCCCUACACAAGCAGAAAAUAUAUCUUAAGAAAUAAUUGUUCCCCAGUCAAAAGUUAAUGAAAAUGAUAAAUUCUUUAAGAAUACAAUUGAUAUCCCAGAACAGAAACUCUAAAGGACAUUAUUAGAAAGCACAUGGGAUCAAUGGUUUAAAACCACAGAGGAAGGAAGACUCUACCAGGUGCUAGAGAAAUAGAGACAUUACAUACAAAAAACGAAGGAGCCCAUGGCUGCAGGACGGUCCACUCAUCGGGGGAAGAGCAGGACAAAAGUGGAGAGGAGGACAUCUUAUGUAUACCGGAAGAAAAAUGUUCAAAUCUCCAAUCGUAUAAUAAAAAAGCAAACAGAGACUGAAGAUACAUGGGCACACAGAACAUGGUGAUAUGUGAGAGCUGGAAGAGUCACGACCAGCAGGUGCGUGCUGCAAGUAACACAGAGAGAAAUCCUUCACGAAGGAGGGAGAUUAUAUUAAAUGGAAAUACAGCUACCACAGGAAGGAAGAGCAGUCCAAUUGCUAAUGACACAAGUAUGCAUAUAAGCACUUUUAAAAAUUCUGUUGAGAACUUUUUGACACAGUUUUACACCUAAUAAAAAGUAAAACCAGGUGGGUAAGGUGGUACUGACUGUAACAUAAACACCUCAGGAGACUGCAGCAGAAAGAGUGUGAGUUCAAGCCCAGCCUGGACAAUUUACAAAACAUUUCCCAAGUAUUAAAGGUACUUCUUUACUCUGUAGUGAUACUCCUUUCAUGUAAAAGAUUCACACAUACAUGUCUUCAUAGCAGUAGCACAUUUCAAUCAUGCAUGUUGUGAUUUCAUUUUCAUUUGUAAUUGCAUUGAUGUGAAUCUUCUCUCUUUCCACUAGUUUGGCGAAGGGUUUAUCUAUUUUGCUUAUUAUUUCAAAGAACCAGCUCUUCAGGUCCUUGAUUCUUUGAUUGUUUAUUUAUAUAUUUAUUGCUCAAUUUCAUUCACUUUCUCUCUGAUCUUUCGAUUCCUCUCUCAUUCCUUAAUUUCACUUCAGGCUUAGAUUUUUGUGACUUUUUUAGUAUCUUGAGAUUGUUCUUAGUUUAUUUGCCUGAACUUGCUCUGUUUUUCUAGCGUGAGCAUUGAUUGUGACGUGUUUCCCUUUUAGGACUGCUUCUCACAUGUCCUGUAGGUUCUGAUAUAAUGUACUGGCAUUGUCAUUUGAUUCCAGAAAUUGUUUAAUUUCUUCCCUGAUUUCCUCGGUGACCCACUGGGUGUUGAGGAUUACGUUACUAAUGUCCAAAUAUUUCUAAGUUUUCUAUAGUUUCUUUUGUGAUUGAUUUUCUGGGUCCAUUGUACAAUGGUCUUGUAGUAAACAUUCUCUGCAUGAUUUCAAUUCUUUUGUAUUUAUUUAAGCCGAUUUUGUGGACCAGUGGGUGGUCCAUUUCAGAGGAAGCUCUGUGUGCCGUUGAGAAGAAUGUGCAUUUCGUUACAGUAGGUAGAAUGACCCUUACAUAUCUAUUAAGUGUAUUCUCUGAAGGCUGUGGAUAAACUAUGAGACUUCCUUGCUGACGUUUUGUUUAGUUGAUCUGCUAUUUGCUGAGUGGGGCAUUGAGGCCACCCACUUGGAUUGGUGUGUAUUUGGUCUUCUAUGUCCAGCAAUAUUUGCUUUUGAACACAGCUCCCUCACUGUUCUGUGCACAUACAUUUGGAAGACCACCCAGCUGAAAAAGAGCAGUGCAGGUUGGUGUCUUUAGUGAAUGUAGUUGCAGAAAUCCUCAGUAAGGUAUUUGCAAGUUGGAGGCCAUCAUCAAAAUAAUCUUAUGUUAUGACCAAGUAGGUUUCAUCCCAGGUGUUAUUUGUGUCUACAUGCACCUCCAAAGUCUCAUUCAGUCAUAGUGUUUUUGGAGGUGACUGAAUCAAGUGUAUCACUGAUCUGUAGUGAUGUGCUGGGAUUAAGGGUGGGCGAUCAUGGGAUCAGUCCACUGACUGGAUUGGCACCACCCUAACCCCAGUAGACUGGAUACAAAACCAGGGACAGAAAGAGACUUAUGUCUUUCUCCUUUGUUGUCGCUUUUGCUCUAUUCUGCUGUCAUGAACAGGUUCCCCCCUGCCAGGUGCCACCCUACCUUGGAGCUGAAUAGGACUGAGGCAUAAACUGUGACCUAAAUAGUUUUUCCCCUUACUGUUAGGUGUCAGGUAUUUUGUCUCAGCAACAAGAUAAAAGUAUCUAAGACACUAGGGAUACAAAGAUGAUUCCUAAUACACAAAUCAGUAAAUGUGAUGCACCAUAUAAACAGAGGCUAGGACCAAAACCACAAGACCAUUUCAGUAGAUGCAGGAGAUGCAUGUUCUCUGCAAUGUCCCUUCACAAUUAGAACUCUGAAGGAAAUAGGGAUAGAGGGACUUUACCUGAAUCUGAUGAAAACCAUUUGUGAGGAACCAGGAGCCACCAAUAUGCUAAAUGGGGAAAGAUUGAAAGCCUCCCUUCUAAACACAAGAGCAAGACAAAGCUAUCCACCCUCGCCAUUUUUCAUAAACAUAGUACUCAAAACAUUAGCCGGAGCAAUAAGGCCAGAGAUAGAAAAGGAAGUGACAUGUCUAGGAAAGGAAGGGAGACAGUUAUCAUGGUUUGCAGAUGACACGAUUCUCUAGAUAGAAAACAGGAAGAAUUCCACCAAGAUUCCUAGAAUACAUCAGUCUCAGCAAUGUAGCCAGAUACAAAAUCAGCACAAAAAAAUAAAGAGCAUUUAUGUACACUAGUAAAUAACUCUCUGAGAAGGAUAUUAAGAAUGUGAUACCACCAACCAUAGCAUCAAGAAAAUCUACAUAUCAAGUAAUUAACUUAAUCAAGCAAGUGAAAGAGCUCUACAAUGAAAACUACACUGAAAAAGAUGAUCAAAGAGGAUGUCAGAAAAUGGGAAUAUAUACCCUAUUCCUGGGUGGGCAGAAUCAGUAUUGUCAAAAUGGCAAUAUUAUCAAAACAGAUGAUUUAAGGUAAUUACAAUAAAAAGUGCCAUUUCUCAUAGAAGUAGGGGAAACAGUCCUGAAAUCUGUAUGCAACUGGAAGAGACACAGACUAACCAAAGCAGUCAUGGGAUCCAGGGCAAAGGGGAGGCAUCAAGUUAGACUGCAAAGUUACGCUGAUAAAAGUGGUGUGCGCAGAAGCAGACAUGUGGGCCAGCGGAAGGAAACAGAGCGUGUGGAAAGAGCUGCAGGCUCAAAGGGCCAGAACCACACUGGGGCAGAGACAGUGUCUCUAACAAAUGGUACCGGGAGGACUGUCUGUUUACACGGGAGGGCUGAAGCUGAACCUGUUUCACCCAACAUUUACUAAACUAAAAUUAAAACGGUUCAAAGAUCUAAACACUAACACACAGAUGCUUGCCGACUGGAAGAUAAAACUUGAAACUAUAGAUAUAGGCAAAGACUUUCGGUCUGGAACUCCAACUGCACAAGAAGUAACAGCAAGAAUAAAACAUGAGGUGGUGUCAAAUUAAAAAGUUUUUCAAAGCAAAGGAAACACCAAUAAAGUGAAGAGACAGUCCACACAGUGGGAGAGAAAUUGUUGUCAGGCGCUCCUCAGUGACUAAUUGCAUAAUAUAUAAAGAAUUCAGAAAACUACCCACCCCAAAUUAAAGCUCCAGACAAAAAAAUGAGCAAGUAAUAUGAAUAAGCACUUCUCACACAAGAAAGAAGUACAAAGGACCAAUAAAUAUAUGAAAAGAUGUUCAGCAUCUCUGGCCAUUAGGGAAACACAAAUUAAAUUAACACUAGGAUUCCAUCUUACACUACAACAAAUAGUAUUCAUCAAGGAAUCAAAUAAUAAAUGCCAGUGAGGCUGUGGGGGAACAAAGAACACUUCUACAUUGCUUAUGGGACAUAAAUUAGUACAAGCAUUAUAGAAAUCAGUAUGGAGAUUUCUCAAAGAACAAAAGAAUAGAAAUUCCAUUUGGCCCAGUCAUUGCCUUUCUGGAUAUUUUCUCUAAAAAGCUAAAGACUUCAAACUGCAGUAAUGUAUACACUCCAACGUUAAUAGCAGCCACAAUUCAUAAUAUCUAAAUUGUGGAAGCAACCUGUGGGUCCAUAAUAGAAAAAAGGAUAAAGAAAAUGUGCUAUCUAUACAUAGUGGAAUACUACUCAGCUCUAAAGAAGGAUACACUUGAGACAUUGGUAGGCAAAUGUAUAUACCUGGAAAAUACAGUGUUAAGUGAAAUAAAACAGACACACAAGCUUAAA